UCCGAGUUAUCCCCGGCAGUCUCCUAUGAGUCCCCGGCGUGACCCGCUGGCAACUGAGGACAAGGGUUGCGCUCGUUGCGCCACUUAAGGCAACACCUCACGGCACGAGCUGACGACAGCCAUGCACCACCUGUGCAGGCUCCGUAGAGCUCCGGCUUUCACCGGCUUCACCCUGCAUGUCAAACCCAGGUAAGGUUCUUCGGGUUGCAUCGAAUUAAGCCGCAUGCUCCGCCGCUUGUGCGGGGACCCGUCAAUUCCUUUGAGUCUUAGCCUUGCGGCCGUACUCCCCAGGCGGGAUACUUAAUGCGUUAGCUUCGGCACGGCAGUCAUUGGUAUAACCGCCACACCUAGUAUCCAACGUUUACGGCGUGGACUAC
rnacentral:misc_RNA from 1 species